AUGCUGCAAGAAAAAAAAAAGCCACGAGGAGGAGUUUUCUUGGCGUGGGAUUUUACACGGGGUGCAUUUCAAAGCAGCUGCGUGCAGUCGUUUUGGGGAAGCUGUGCUGGAAGUGCUGACUUGGAUGGAAGUGCACGCUUUAUGAAGGAGAAAAGAGAAACAGAGAAUGAGAUGCGCACCCCUACAGACACGGUGUUCGUUCCUCAACAGCAAGGGAUGGGGCUGCCUCAGACCCCUCGUGGGAGAUCUGCUGAUUGAAAUAUCUUGCUAUCACCAGCAGCUCCCUCUGCCACCAAAGGGAGAUCUCCAUUUUGCAGAGGUGAGGAGAUGGGGCAGGGCUGGCUCUGGAAAAUUGAUCCUCCAGCAAUCUCACUUUCCUGGCUCCCUGAUCUCUACGGGGGUGUUCGGUCAGUGGGAGUAAUCAGGCCACUCUGUAUCUUGGAUGCUGCUGAUAUGGUGGAAGUAUGAUGAUCUGGUUGACCACAUCAUCAUCUUAGUGCCUGGUUCUUGUGUUGGGUGAAUCAGGCUCUACGGACAGUAAUGGCUGAUGUCCUCUCUGAGUAAGGGUUGGUGGAAGAGCAGUGACCCCAGGAGACUUAAUGCUGGUUUCAUUUUGCAGAGAGGAAGAAGGGAAAUGAAGAAACUUGUGGAGGGGAAAUGCCAUGUCAGACACGGCCACUAGUUAUUGUCCUGCAUUCAAAGGCCACCGGGCAGAAGGAAGUGUGUGUGGGAAGUGGGAGAGGCAGGAAUGAAACCUAAAAAUUUGCGUGUCGAGAUUGUGAAAGUGGAAAAAAGGAGUGUGAAAAGGGCAGGAGUUCAGCUGAGCUGGAUAUUUGAUGGCAAAAUGUAAAAGGGGAAAGGAAAAAAAAAAAAAAACAACCAACAAAAACACCCAAACCCAAAAACCAACACAUUGGGAAUGAAACUGAGAGGAAAAGCAUUCCAGUCUGGAAGUAAUCCCGAGCUGCUGUCUGUCCUGAGUUCCAUGAUUCAUCAGUGAGGGUGGUGAGGCGCUGGCGCAGGUUGGCCAGAGAUGUGGUGGAUGCUCUGUCCCUGGAGACUUUCAAGGCCAGGCUGGAUCAGGCCCUGGGCAUCCUGAUUUAGCUGUGGUGUCUCUGUUCAUUGCAGGGGAGUUGGACUAGAUGAGCUUUAAAAGUCCCUUCCAACUCCAAGGA
rnacentral:lncRNA from 7 species